GAACAUUAGUCGGGGUGCUGUUAAGCUGAGAUGAUACCCGUGAACCUGAUACAGUUAAUACUGACGUAGGAAACUAACAAUGCAAAAUA
rfam:Avibacterium paragallinarum JF4211, WGS project CBMK01000000 data, contig: 27-39p1